rnacentral:ncRNA from 1 species
UGGUUUCUUAACCACGUUUCCAUAUUAAUGUGACAUAAUAUAUAUAAUAUCUGUACUCUUCAAUACAGGACUCUUUUAAGCUCUGUAACUGAAAUGAGCACAUUAGAAACGUUUAAUAAGGAUCUAUUGGAGGGCAAGUCUUGUGUCAGGAGCUGUGGUAUUUUCCAGCCCCCUUAGCAUUUAUUAAAGUUGCUGCAGUUAAAAAGCUGUAAUUGGAUCUAGGGAUUGGACUAAUGGUCUGCCAUGAGAUGAGCCUGUCCCCAUCCCUACCUUCUGCUGCUCCUUCAAUGCUCAGAGCUGAGUUUCCCAGGAGACCUGAAGCAUUUACUUUGAAAAAAAAAAUAAAGUGUUCACAGCAGGCCCAUUGCUGGGAUAAUCCAUCUAGCAAUAAUAGAAUGUGCCCCAGGUUCUAUUUUGAUGAUCUCUGAAUGGGACCAUGAUUAAAGGCCUGGUAGAGGGCAUUUUGACUGUUCCGGCAGAGGUGAUAUGCUUAGACCGGUGCAAUAUGGACCGGAGCAAAAACAUUUCAAAAAUGUUUUUGUUAGUCAAGAAAAAUCAGCAGUUUGAAGGCAAUCUGAUACGCUUGUAGUUCCAGGCAUAAAAGAUACCAUCUUACAUCCUGCUGGCAUUAUUCCUGUGUACUGUCAAGCAGCUUCCGGAAAUGAUGGAUAGAUAGUGGUAACGCUG